rnacentral:rRNA from 1 species
AUGACUGAUGAUGGUUCACAUUUUAUUCAUGGUGCUUUCUGUAAAAUGCUUGCUAAAUAUGAUGUUAACCAUAGAAUUGCAUCUCCUUAUCAUCCUCAGUCUAGUGGUCAAGUAGAAUUGAGUAAUAUAGAGCUCAAACUAAUUUUGCAAAAGAUCGUUAGUAGAUCUAGAAAAAAUUGGUCCAAGAAACUUGAUGAUGCAUUAUGGGCCUAUAGAACUGCAUAUAAAAAUCCUAUUGGUAUGUCUCCGUAUAAAAUGGUUUAUGGAAAAGCAUGUCACUUACCUCUCGAACUAGAACACAAGGCAUAUUGGGCCAUUAAAGAACUCAAUUAUGAUUUUAAACUUGCUGGUGAGAAGAGGCUAUUUGAUAUUAGCUCACUUGAUGAAUGGAGAACCCAAGCCUAUGAAAAUGCCAAGUUGUUUAAAGAAAAAGUUAAAAGAUGGCAUGACAAAAGGUACAAAAGCCUGAGUUUAAUGUAG